rnacentral:rRNA from 1 species
UAGAUACCCUGGUAGUCCUGGCCGUAAACGAUGGGUACUAGGUGUAGGAGGUAUCGACCCCUUCUGUGCCGGAGUUAACGCAAUAAGUACCCCGCCUGGGGAGUACGACCGCAAGGUUGAAACUCAAAGGAAUUGACGGGGGCCCGCACAAGCGGUGGAGUAUGUGGUUUAAUUCGACGCAACGCGAAGAACCUUACCAGGUCUUGACAUUGAUGGACAGAACUAGAGAUAGUUCCUCUUCUUCGGAAGC